GCUUUGCUGUUAUAUUGAGCAGUGCAUUUAGCUCUGAGUUUCCUGGUAGACAAAGUGAAACAAGUCUUUGGGUUCAUGUUAUUUCUCUUUGCUGAGGAGAGACAUACCAGGUCGUCCACAGAGACAUUGUUACCAGGCACUUUAUUCUAAGCCAGUGAUUUUCAUGUAAGUGAAGCUAAAUAAUCAUCUAGAAUAGGGGAUUCAUAUAUACAUUAGAGUUUGAGAAGCUCUGCUGUAGUCCACCUCCAUUUUUUGUUGGUAAGCCCAGGGAAGAUAAAUAAUUUGCCGGUUACCAGGCUUGGUGGUGAUAACACAGGCUUAGAGCCAGUUUGCUUUGGUACCAGCCUGGGCCUCGGAGCUCCCUUGUUUGGAAGGCACAGGUGUAGUGAGAUGUGGUAUUAGAGCUGGUAUGGUCAAGUACCUUACCUCGCUCCCAGGCAAUAUGGACACAGACUAUGACCUGAGUCUUGGGAUUUAGACUUAAUGAAAUCAGAAUAUGUGAAAGAGGAGUUUUUUUCAAGAAGCUUUUCUUUUUACCACGAGGCUGGACGAGGCUGGACCUCUGUAUCAGGAUGCUGUCAAAUUGCCAUAGAGGAGAAAUCUAGAAGAGUAGGCUGUAGCAGGUAUCCUUUUUAUGGCUUGUUUUAAAAUACUUUGUCAAAAAUGCCCUUCGUUUAGUCAAAAUUGUAGGCAAAUUUAUGUUAUAUUUUUGCUGCCAUGAGUAUAUGGUAGAACUUUGGGCAGGGAUCCUAAACUCAAGCUGUCUGCAGGAAACAGACAGGCACGGACAGCUAUUUAUUAUUCAGAAGGCCAGACAUAAAACAAGGAGCAAGGUCGAUAGUGAACCAAAGGGCCAGUGUCUUGUCUCAAUGGGGCAACUGCUUCUCAGCUCCUGUUCAUUUUUUAUCAUGUGAAAAAUGCAGUUAUGUAGUUGACCAGAUCUUCCAGUAUUUUGAGAGGAGCUGGAAGUCUGGAUUAUUAAAUUAAAUCUCCUGAUUUUAAAUGUUGGCAACUCUUUUCUUCCACUUGUUCAAAGCAGAAAACUUGGAGUUGUCCUUCACUUCUGUCUUCCUUUCAAAACCCACAUCUAAUUCAUCAGGAAAUCCUGUUGGCUCUAUCCUCAAAAUAUAUUCAGAAUCUGAUCACUUCUUACGGAUUUCUGUUGCACUACUGUGGUCCAAACCACCACCGUCUCUCUCCAAGAUUGUUGCAGUAGCCUCCUAACUGGUCUCACUGCUUCCAUUCUUUCUCUCCUGCAGCCAGAACUGUAAGUCAGAUCACAUCGCCCCACUGCCCACAAUCCUCCAAAGUCUCCGCAUCUUACUCAGCAUGAAAGCCAAGAUCCUCCCAAUAACCCAUGAGACUCUCCGACCUCAUCUCUGCAGCUACAUUGGCCUCCUGUCUGUUCCUCACAUAUGCCAGCUCAUUUCCUCCUUGUGACGUUUGUCCUUGCUGUUCCCUAUUUUUCCAGGUAUCUCUACGGCCCAUUCAUCCCCUGCAUCCCUUUGCUUAAAUGUCAUCUUCUCAGUGAAACCUGCCUUGGACACGCUGUCUAAACUUACACACAUGAAUACACACAUCCUUCCUCUCCACCUUCUCUGCUUUUUGUUUCUCCUUAUCACAUAUGGUCUAGUAUACUCCAUCAAUUUUUUAUUACCUGUUUUCUGCACUAGAAUGUAGAUUCCACAUGGAUAGGAACUUUAUAUGAUUUUGUGUAUUUGUUCACUGCUGUUUACAUCUGGAAAUAAGCCUCACACAUGGUAGGUGUUCAAUAAAUGUUUGAUGAAUGAAUGAAUCUUAAAAACAAUUUUUUUAACUUUGGGCCAAAUAAAACUCUUCAAUAGGCCAAACCUGGGCUGUACUUCUUUUGGCCUAGAGUCAAAAAGAAGAAUGAGCGCUUCUCCAGCAGCUCCUUGUAGCUUGGGAACAGACUUUAUGAAUGCAUCAUGAUGCCUGCCCUGCUCAGGAAACCACAGAUGAGUUCUUCCCUUCCAUUCCCACAUGUACCCGCCUACUUCCACCCUGCUCAACUUCGAUACAUGCUUAUUGUUUUGUGCCUCAACAUUGUUUUUCCCAAGGUAUUGCUGUUUAGAAUAUGGAAAAUGUUGUGUGAAUUAUUUCAGCCUCCUGAGUGAACUUUCAAAUCUCUGAAGGUAGCACACAUUUGAACAGUUUGACUUGCUUUCUGCAACACAGAGUUUAGAACUGGGCAAGCAAUAAGUGAGAGGAAGAUUAUCUCAGAGGGAAAAGCAUGUGUAAAGACAGGUGUGAAAAUACCCAUGAUGCUUAGGAAGAGAACAAGUGAAACUAGAGUUGGGAGUGAGAGGGAAAGUGGUCAGAAAAGAUGUUGGAGAGUAGACAGGGCCAAAUCUUGCAGACCAUGGUAAGGAGUUUGAAUGUUGUUGUUACGUCCAAUGGGAAGCUGUUAAAGAAUUUCUAAGUACUGAAAUGAUGGGGUUGGAUUUAUAUUGAUUAAAUUUUACUCUGGCUAUUCUGGGAAUUUAGGAGACCAAUAAUAAUAAUGACAAAGCAAAUGCAACUAACAUUUAUUAAACACUAAUGCCAGGCAGCAUGCUAAUUGCUUUAUACAGAUUAUUUUAGUUAAUUCUUACAUCAUUCCAUUGAGUUAAAUGAUAUCAUUAUACCAGUUUUGUAGAUGAGGAAACUCAGACACACUGAAGUUAAGUAAUUUGCCUGAAGUCACACAGCUAACCUAUCGAACCCAGGCUGUCAUUUUUCAGCCUUUGCUCUUACUUAGCCCUUAACCUUUACUACUUUGACUCUUCUUCCAGUACUGGAUUCAAGAUAAGCAUUUAGGAGGUUAUUGCUAUAUUCCAGGCAACAGCUGGUGGUUGUUUGGCCUUUCUGCUAAGGUGGUUUUUCUGUUGUUCCUUGUAAGUUUAAUAUUCAUUCUUACAGAUGGAAUAUGAUUUAAUUCACGUUGGAGAAUAGGCCUUAGCAAAGACUGAGGACACGAUCUCAGUCCAUGUCCUACAUAGUAGCCUCAAACUGCUGGGCUCAAGCGAUCCUCCCACCUCAGCCUCCCAAGUAGCUGAGAUUACAGGUGCCAAGCCACGGUGCCCAGCUGCUCCUUAUGUACUGAUACAGCAAGAUCUCCCAGAUGUAUUGUUAAGUCCAAAAAGCACAGUACAGAACAUAUUGUCUAUAUUGUAUGCUACCUUUUGCAUGUAAUAAAAAGAAGAAAGAAUGAA